AGAAGUCUUUUGGGAUGUAUUUUUAAACAGGAGGUUUUGAAAACUCCAAAUUUAGCUUCAUAAAAAGAGGUAGUGCAAGUGUGAAGCAUGUGGUCAUUUUGGCAUACUCAGUGUAUAACUUCUCUCUUUACCUAUAUAAGGAUAUAAUAAAGCUUUAGAAAUGUGCAAAGCAGAAAUCUUCCAGUUCUGUUUAUUCACUUUCAGUCAGGUAGUAAAAUAUCCUAAUGUUCUAUGAAGAAAUCUUCAAAAUGCACUACUGGAAAAGCCUGCUAAAGAGAGAGAAAGCAACAAGUUCUUUAUUUAGCUACUGAGCAGUUUAAAGGAGAGGAUCAGUGAGGGUUUUUUUAAUCCAACUAUGUCUGUGAGAAAACAGGCUGAAAGGACCAAAGCCACAAAGCACGUAACAGAGUUGACUAUAAAAUAAGGGACUUAUUCCAAGGUCUCCCUGCCACACUCUGCUCAAUGAGGAUACACAAUGUGUAUCCUCAUAUUCUACCCACUCUCACUAUUGAACCCACUUAACGACUUUCAAAUUUAAAACCAAUUAU